UCGCAGGCGGUCUUUUAAGUCUGAUGUGAAAGCCCACGGCUUAACCGUGGAGGGUCAUUGGAAACUGGAGGACUUGAGUACAGAAGAGGAGAGUGGAAUUCCACGUGUAGCGGUGGAAUGCGUAGAGAUGUGGAGGAACACCAGUGGCGAAGGCGACUCUCUGGUCUGUAACUGACGCUGAGGAGCGAAAGCGUGGGGAGCGAACAGAAUUAGAUACCCUGGUAGUCCACGCCGUAAACGAUGAGUGCUAGGUGUUAGGGGGUUUCCGCCCCUUAGUGCUGAAGUUAACGCAUUAAGCACUCCGCCUGGGGAGUACGGCCGCAAGGCUGAAACUCAAAAGAAUUGACGGGGACCCGCACAAGCGGUGGAGCAUGUGGUUUAAUUCGAAGCAACGCGAAGAACCUUACCAGGUCUUGACAUCCUCUGAUACUCCUAGAGAUAGGAUUUUCCCUUCGGGGACAGAGUGACAGGUGGUGCAUGGUUGUCGUCAGCUCGUGUCGUGAGAUGUUGGGUUAAGUCCCGCAACGAGCGCAACCCUUGAUCUUAGUUGCCAGCAUUCAGUUGGGCACUCUAGGAUGACUGCCGGUGACAAACCGGAGGAAGGUGGGGAUGACGUCAAAUCAUCAUGCCCCUUAUGACCUGGGCUACACACGUGCUACAAUGGAUGGUACAAAGGGAAGCGAAACCGCGAGGUCAAGCAAAUCCCAUAAAACCAUUCUCAGUUCGGAUUGCAGGCUGCAACUCGCCUGCAUGAAGCCGGAAU
rnacentral:rRNA from 1 species